UUUUAUGAGAUAAUGGAUUCACGCUAUUUUGGAUACGGUGGAUCGGAUACUAUUUUGAUAACGCUCGGAAAUUAUUUUUUAUCGAGCGUCAACAAUUUUGUGUCGGAUGAAUCAGAAUCAGGUUUUAGGGGAUCGCAGGAUUUCCUUGAUCCUACAACGAACUUGGAAAACUUGUGUUCGCCAUUUACUGUUUUUAUUCGCGAGUUUAUGUCAUUUAGAUUAUAAUUAUUGAGCGAAAAAUUCAGCGAGUUACUCAUCGAUAUCGGUAGCAUAACGUGUAUUUUCGACUCAUCGUCAUCGUCGAUGAAUGCGCGGAGUUUCUUUUUUCUCAACGCACCUUUCAGUUUAUUUUUACGUGCAUGUCCUUUUGUUAUUGCGUGCUUAAUAAAAUCGUUUCAAUUAAUUCUUUCAAUUUCCAUUAGUAUUUAACGAUUUUUUUACAUCAAGUCGCACCUGCAGCUACGAAACACAUUCGGGUAACUGCGUCGGCGUACCUUAAAGUUUAUUAUUCGUCGUUAUCUUGCUAGUUGCGUACGAAACGGCAGGGCGUGUGUUGAAUAAAAUUUCGUAGAAAUAAGGUAUAGGUAUAAUCUUAUAAGUUACGUAAGAAAAUCAAUGAAAUUCUCAUCUUGUUAGGUCAUACGAGAAACCAGCAUCGCGUUUGAAAAAAAAAAAGAAGAAAUUUUGUCAACUUGUGAUUCAUGAAAUAUGAAUUUAAGAAUCAGUAUGUUUGAGUAUUGUAUUUGGAUUUAAGACCAAGCUUCGGAGCUGCAAAGCAGGUGUUAAAAAAGUUUCUCUCAGCGUGUUCUGUUAUAUGGGAUUGAAAAAAUAAAAAGACAUUUGUUUUUUUUUUUUUACAAUUCUCAAGUGAUUAGGACUUGACAUUUUGAAAGGAGUUAAUAAAAACGAUACUCUUUUUUAUUAGAUUUCUUUUAUUAGUUUUAUUUGAGUUAUUACGAGAAAUUAUAUUCCUUUUCCGUAGGUGAGAACAUCAUCGCCACGCUAAAGGCCAAGGAAAAUAUUGAACGAGAAUUGCUAUAUUCAAGUCACGAUCAUCGUAAGCCAGCUCAGCAUCAGUCGUAUAAAACGGUUAAAUUCACAUCGUGAGAUAAAUAUAUUACAAACCUUAAUGGAGGAUCGGAUUAUUUAUACCACUUUGGCAAAUAAUUCGGACUCAUCUUUUUACCUGUGGGAUCAAGGUCGUAGUCGUGAUGGCGAUGGUGAGAACUGGCCGAUUCAGGAUCUCGUACAAGGAGAAGAGAAUUAACUUGUUAGACAUCUCUCAUUUUUUCAACGUCGUUAUCUUAUUUUAGUUUAUUUUUGUUUCGGGGGAGGGGAAGUUGCAGACAACGACCAAAUGACGGGAAAAAAUAAAGCUUCAAGGCUACGCAAUAUUCCCGGAUGUCUCAAAAAGUAUUAACGCAUACAUGUAUAUUCGAAUACUUCAGUUUGUUGAAAAACGAAUCGAUAACGAUCGAUGGACGAUGAAUUGAAUAUCUGUAAAUGUAUAUAAUUCAUCUAAUCGUUAAUUUUAAUUAAUACUGCAUGUGGAAAAAGUAGGCUGGGUAAGCGAAGGCAUGCAUAAAUCCGUGCAUCAUCUUGUAUCGCGAUGAGGCUACACAGAAGGAAUCUUCUCAGCCUUGGAGGGCGAAAGUUGUCUUCGACUCGACGAGGAGUCUCUUCUUGUCUCUCGAAGCUUCAGACUUGGGACAUACGUAACACCGGAGUGUGGCUCUUCCGCGGCUAAACUAUAUUAUUGAUGGACGUGAUGCAGUGGGUAGAGUAAUAAAUGGUUUCUCUGUCAGAGAGUAUAAAAUUAUACACGUACCUUUCAAAAGUGACAACAUGGUUACACGCGCGUACGGCUUCUGAUAGGUAUGUGCAGUAAUUAUCGGCAAAUGUUGAACCCGUUUCAGAUCGCUCCAAUAAGAACGACAGAUGGUGUAAAAGGAGCAUAUCUAGAGGGAUAGUUGUACGCCUAGAUUGAGAGGAAAAGCGAGCGGUGUAGGAUACAUACGAUGUUGUGUCAGUUGGUCUUGUUCAACUUGUAAGAGCAGCAGGGAUGUUACCUAAGCGGAUGCAAAAAGGUGCUAAGCGUAUGCGAGUGAAAUAUGUAGUUUGUGGUACCUACGUAGAGGUAUAUAAUACGUAUAUUCUUUACCUGCAUGAAACAAUACGCACACAGUUGUAAAAUUACAAGAUGUAUUCUCUUUGGUCUUCCGCUAGACAGACGAACGCGUUUCUUCGCCAACGUGUAUUAUAUACCUAUCAUAUUUGUGUGUUGCACAGAUAGUUAGUUAGUUAGUUCAGCCUUGAAAUAUAUCGCUAAUAAACUUA